rnacentral:tRNA from 1 species
AAUAGAGUGGCUGAAAUAAUAGGCUAAAAAUUGUAAAUUUUUAUAUGGUUAAUUACCCUCUAUUA